AACGAACGCUGGCGGCAGGCUUAACACAUGCAAGUCGAGCGAGACCUUCGGGUCUAGCGGCGGACGGGUGAGUAACGCGUGGGAACGUGCCCUUCUCUACGGAAUAGCCCCGGGAAACUGGGAGUAAUACCGUAUACGCCCUUUGGGGGAAAGAUUUAUCGGAGAAGGAUCGGCCCGCAUUGGAUUAGGUAGUUGGUGGGGUAAUGGCCCACCAAGCCGACGAUCCAUAGCUGGUUUGAGAGGAUGAUCAGCCACACUGGGACUGAGACACGGCCCAGACUCCUACGGGAGGCAGCAGUGGGGAAUCUUAGACAAUGGGGGCAACCCUGAUCUAGCCAUGCCGCGUGAGUGAUGAAGGCCUUAGGGUUGUAAAGCUCUUUCAGCUGGGAAGAUAAUGACGUACCAGCAG
rnacentral:rRNA from 1 species